GCUCUCAGGUCGCGGUGUAUUGCUUCUGCAUAUAUUAGACUGCUGGCAUCGAAUUGGGUUUGCUGGUGGAAAGUUCUGUGUCGUAUCAGUCUUUAAGAGUGUAGACUUAAUCAAGGGGAAGGAAGAAAUCGUAUUGAGAGCUGUCCAAAUUUUUUGUCUUGCUGUGUGGCUGUGUGGUUCAUGAAAAUAAGAGAUGCCCAUGUGGUCUUGGCCUUCUCCCCGAAGGGGCUUUCUUAGAAGCUACGGGGAAUUUGGAAUUUGUUUACAUCGCUUUGAGACAUUAUGCAGGUGUAUGUAGUCAAUCUGUCUAAUGAGAAUGCUGAAGUUCCACGAGCCCAGACUUGCUGAUGACCCUUGGUACGAAGCUCUGGAGGCAGAAUCAUGGACGGAGUGGCCACAGCGCAACCCUCACGGCAGAGGGUUACUGCAGUCGUUGAGGUAGUCUGUGUGAGGCUGGUUUGGGCAUUAUCCACUGCCUCCUUCAUUCUCCAGACCAAGCCCAACACCAUGAAGAAUAUCAAGUGCAUAUUUAAUGAAAAUGGAAGACAUUGGAAGAUCUUGUCUUAGCCACAGAGGGUGGAGUAUCUGCAAAUAUAUAGACAGUGAAUUUGAUUUGGAAAAUAUUACUACUGAUGCUGAGUUGCAGGAAAGA